rnacentral:rRNA from 1 species
AGCGAACGCUGGCGGCAUGCUUAACACAUGCAAGUCGCACGGGCAGGGGCAACCCUGUCAGUGGCGGACGGGUGAGUAACGCGUAGGUAUCUAUCCUUGGGUGGGGGACGAACGUUGGAACGACUGCUAAUACCGCAUGAUAACUGAGGUUUAAAGGACGCAAGUCGCCUGAGGAGGAGCCUGCGUACGAUUAGCUAGUUGGUGGGGUAAAGGCCUACCAAGGCUGUGANCGUUAGCUGGUCUGAGAGGAUGAUCAGCCACAUUGGGACUGAGACGCGGCCCAAACUCCUACGGGAGGCAGCAGUGGGGAAUAUUGGACAAUGGGCGAAAGCCUGAUCCAGCAAUGCCGCGUGUGUGAAGAAGGUCUUCGGAUUGUAAAG